rnacentral:rRNA from 1 species
UACGUAGGGGGCAAGCGUUAUCCGGAUUUACUGGGUGUAAAGGGAGCGUAGGUGGAUUGUUAAGUCAGUUGUGAAAGUUUGCGGCUCAACCGUAAAAUUGCAGUUGAAACUGGCAGUCUUGAGUACAGUAGAGGUGGGCGGAAUUCGUGGUGUAGCGGUGAAAUGCUUAGAUAUCACGAAGAACUCCGAUUGCGAAGGCAGCUCACUGGACUGCAACUGACACUGAGGCUCGAAAGUGUGGGUAUCAAACAGG